UACGUAGGGUGCGAGCGUUAAUCGGAAUUACUGGGCGUAAAGCGUGCGCAGGCGGUUUUGUAAGCCAGAUGUGAAAUCCCCGGGCUUAACCUGGGAAUGGCAUUUGGGACUGCAAGGCUUGAGUGCGGCAGAGGAGACUGGAAUUCCUGGUGUAGCAGUGAAAUGCGUAGAGAUGUGGAGGAACACCGAUGGCGAAGGCAGCCCCCUGGGCUGAGAUUGACGCUCAGGCACGAAAGCGUGGGGAGCAAACAGG
rnacentral:rRNA from 1 species